rnacentral:lncRNA from 1 species
GAAGUCACUGUCCAUCAUACAGUGCUUUAAUUUGAGAUGCCUCUUCUGGGAACCCAGCCACCAUGUUGUAAGGACGCUCAGAACACAUAAAAACGUGACAUUUAGAUAUACCAGCCAAUAGGAACACUGGCUAAAACCCAGCUAAGGUUUCAGCUAAGCAGCGAGCAUCAACCACCAAGUGUAAGAGUGAACAAGCCUUCAGAUAAUUCUAGCCUCCAGCCUUCAAGCUGUCUUAGGUAAUGCUGACUGGAGUAGAGAUGACUGUCCUCACAGGUUCCUGCCCAAAUUGCAGAUUUGCAGGCAAAGUAUGUGCUGUUAAUAUUAUAAGCCACAAAAUUUUGGGGUGGUUUGUUACAUAAUAGAUAACCAGAACACGGAAUCUCAGAAAUUAAAUGCAAUGCUACCAAUUUUAGAAUCAAAAAAGGUUUUCAAAGGAUGUCAUCUGAGAUUUUCAAAAUACAAAGCUGAAAUGUGUCC